rnacentral:tRNA from 2 species
GCGCCCGUAGCUCAAUGGAUAGAGCGUUUGGCUUCGAACCAAAAGGUUGCGAGUUCGACUCUUGCCGGGCGCACUA